UAUGGCCUUAUCGCGUUGAAACACCAGUUCCCGUACGAUCCCUGAAGGUAAGCAACGUCGACACUGGUUAGUACUUAGAUAGGUAACUGUUUGGGAAUACCGUUUGCUGUAAG